rnacentral:lncRNA from 1 species
AUGCUCCCAGAUGGAAUUUUUGUCUCCAAGUUUCAGGUGCACCGAUACUGCCUGCCUGACACUGACAAGACACAGAUAAAUUGUUCUUCAUCACCAUCACCAUUGCCAUCACUGCCAUUAUCUUUUUAUAAUAUCCUCAAGGAUUCAGAACACUUGAUAUCAUUGGAAAGUUGCAAGCCUUACAUGAGGCUCUGUCCCCUUUAAGCUUAGCUUCCUCUAUCCGCAGUACAGGGCUUCUUUGAUGUGGACCUGGCCGCAGCUGGGUGAGCUGUGUGUGGCAGAAAGAGCAUGAUGCGCCGUUGCUUUUGCUGAGAAGAGAAGACCAGGAGAGAGAAGCCACACUGCAGAGGACCUUGCAGCAGUCAGGCUGCGUGAACGACACAAAUGGCGAACGGUGUGUAGAUUGCCACUUCUCUACCUUUGACAAUCUCUCUCUCUCUCUCCCCCCCUCCUCUCUCUCUCUCUCUCUCUCUCUCUCUGUGAAAGAUAUUUUGUUUUUCAUGCUGUCGCAACUGCUCUCUCAUUUCAACCAGGAUAGCUAGAGCUUGAAAUACAUUCCAGUAAGGGAAGGGCUGCAUUUGAAAACUGGGUCUUUGCAGAUAAUGUCUUAAAACCCUUCUAGUUCUGUUUUACUCCCUGGUUUUUCUGGGCAACGUCACACCUCUUGAGGACACUGGGGACAUCAGGUUUUUGCUGAGUAUGGCAUCUUCCCAUCAUCAUACAGAAGGUUUUCAGUUCAGACAAAGGUUGCCCUGAAUAAUAGGCUGCCCAGGAUUCUCUCCUCUGUACAAUCCCCACCUCAUUACCAGAUCAAACAUCCACAUUUCUGUCUUUCUUUCUUUCUGUCUGUCUUUCUUUCUGACUCACCAUAUUGUCCAAGAAACUUAUCUUGGGGACCUGUUUCUCUUUCCUCUCUAAGGAUAAAUAAUCGGUGCCAGAGACAUUGAGUUAUCCUCUGUCAGGUAAUGCGAGUUGUUUUUCACUUGCGGUUAUUCCUUAGGCAAUUAGAAGAGAGAGCUUCAGCACAGAAAUGCAGCAAGGGGAAGACAGCAAUGCUAACACUUGCAGACUAAAAACAGAUCAGAGAAGGAACGGGCAAGAAGACAGCAAUGAGCGGGGGGGGGGAGGCUCAGUGGGAGAAGAGGCAACCUGGUCAGCGCAACUCAAAGAUAAAAAAAUCUAGAAUGCAGCACAUGGUAUGUGCACUACAGUGUUCGAUGCAACAU